rnacentral:tRNA from 1 species
GACAGGGUGGCCAAGUGGUUAAGGCAGCAGUUUUGAAAGCUAUUUCACUUUGUGAGUGUGAGUUCAAACCUCACUCCUGUGG